rnacentral:rRNA from 1 species
AUGUUCAACAUCCCGGCAUCUCUCAAGAAAAUGAAUAUUUAUGGGUGCCAUAAGCUUGAGUCCAUUUUUGGCAAGCAGCAGGGCAUGUCAAAGUCAGUUCAUGGGUCUUCUUGCAGUGAGGCAAUCGUGCGCACAGCUGUAUCACCCACGAAUCACUUUUGUCCAUGCCUAGAAGAUCUAGAAUUACUUGACUGUGGUAGUUUACCAACAGUUCUACAUCUCCCUCCAUCCUUAGAGACCAUCUUUAUUGCUAGCUACGUUAGUAUUCAAGUCCUGACAUGUCAGCUAGAUCAGCUCCAGAAACCACAAGUCGUUGCUUCCAUAAAUGUACCAGAGCCAGCAGCAGCAACAGCAAGCAAGCACUCACUUCCUCCUCGUCUCCAAUCUCUAAAAAUAUACUCCUGUACUAACAUGUUGGGGGGGAUUCGCCCAUGUCCCUCAAGGAACUGUGCAUUUGUAGUAACAUGGGGUUGA